CCCGUCCCUCUCCGGAACCUUUCUUUCCCCUCCGCGGGGGACGCUUUCUAGCGCCGCACCGCGGCCGCGGGGGACGCUUUUGGCGCCGCACCGCGGCGGUUCCGCAAGAUGGCGGCGGCCGUAGGGCGCUGCGUGUGGAGAGUGCUGGCCCCGCGCCGCGGGUGGCUCUUCCCCGGGCUCGACCAGCGCCUGGUGGCCGCCCCCGCCUCGGUGAGUGCCGCGCCGCCAGCCCGGCCCUACGCUGCGGCAGCCAAAACUGCAAAAAAAGAUUCGCAAAGGACCAGGAAGAAAGAAACAAAAAAGAAACCAGUGAGGAGGAGGUGGCCGCUGAUGACCAAGCCCGUGGAUGAUGUGUACUUGACAUGGUAUUACGAGCGGCCAUCCUAUGAUGUGGAAAAGGCUGUGGGUAUGCUAAAGAAAUUUCAGGAGCUGGACUUCACUUACCCCAAGCAGUUCGUCUAUAUUAACGUGUUCCUAGAUAUGGCACUAGAGAAGAAGAAAAAAGUGGAUCCAUUUGCAAGCACAGUUCUUCUCCCAUAUCGUUUUACAGAUCAAACGAAUAAGGUCUUGGUUUUCACAGAGGAUGAGCAAGAAGCUGAAAUAGCUCGAGAGAACGGAGCUGCUGUUGUGGGAGGAGUUGAAUUAAUCAAAUGGAUUUUGGAAGAUGAAAUCCAAGUGGACUUCUAUGUAGCUGUGCCUGCAAUAAUGCCUAAGCUGAUACCGUUAAGGGGCAAACUCAAAAGAAAAUACCCAAGCACAAAAAGAAAUUCCAUCGGCAGUGAUAUUCCCAAAAUGCUGCAGCUCUUCAGAGAAUGCCAUGAGUACAUGGUAAAAGAUGAGCGUGUGAUCGAGACAAGAAUUGCAAGACUGGAUAUGCCCACUGAGCAGAUUGUUGCCAAUCUGAAAACAGUUAUCCAUGAUAUCUGCACAUUCAAGCCGUCGAGUUAUGGUCCUAUUGUGCAGAAGUUGGUUAUUAGAUCUUCAACUAGUGAAGGUUUGCUAUUGAACCUUGAUGGAAUUCUGCCACAGGUGGAGACAGCAGAAGAAGAAGAAGAAAAGGCAGAUGAUGAUCAUAAUGAAGAAAAACAAGGCCAAGAACCUGUUAACUUUUGGAGGAAGACUCUGAUGCUACACUUCCUGAUGAGAUACUAUGUUUUUGCCUCAAAAUGCUGACUGAUGCCUUCUGUGGAUUUCACGUGUUACCAUCUGCAGAUAAAGAGCACAUCCUAACAGGAGCAGUGAGUAGGGAGUUCUGCUCACGGUUUGAACAGAAAACGCUCUUGGAGGUAAAUGAAGACUUCACGCUGACUUCGGUAAACUUAUUAGGUAUUAUGUGGGGAAAAAACAAUGCAAGUGCACUCAAAUAGCUGUCAAAACACAACUUUUUUUACUGUGUGCUGUGCUCGUAUACCUAAUAGAAAGAAGAAAAAUCUUGGUUUUUGAGUAAGGAAUUGUGACCAACAAAAAUAUUGUCACAUAUAGUCAGUGAUGUUAACUGUUGGGCUUGUUGAGAAAGCCUUUUUUUCAGCUUCCUAAUACUGACAUCUAUUAAUUUCUCAUCUGGAGCACUGGGCAAGUUUCAGAAAAUAGGUGAAGGCAGAUAAUAGAGAGGAAACAAUUCUUUUAAGUGUUUCAAAUUUGCGUUUUUCUACUUCACUGUGUGCCUAAAGUAAUUGGUUGUCCUAGUUGCUGAUGGUGGUAUACACAUGCCAACAGAAUGGGGUAGAACUUCAUCAGUCUGCAGCAAAGGGCUGGAUUACUUAUGACAAGUUUUACUCAGGUGUUUUUUUUCCUAAUGAAAAGAAAUUAUGUUGCGGGGGCUCCUCAUCUGCAAUAUGUCCAGCUUCAUUAGCUCGAGUACAGCAUCCUCUGUGAGUGCAGCAAUUCUGCAGUAACAUUUUUCC